CCUACGGGAGGCAGCAGUGGGGAAUAUUGCACAAUGGGCGAAAGCCUGACGCAGCGACGCCGCGUGAGGGAUGAAGGUCUUCGGAUCGUAAACCUCUGUCAGCAGGGAAGAACGGUCACUGUGCUAAUCAGCAGUGAAUUGACGGUACCUGCAAAGGAAGCACCGGCUAACUCCGUGCCAGCAGCCGCGGUAAUACGGAGGGUGCGAGCGUUAAUCGGAAUUACUGGGCGUAAAGCGCUCGUAGGCGGUAUGUCAAGUCAAGGGUGAAAUCCCCGCGCUCAACGUGGGAACUGACUUUGAAACUGGCAAACUGGGGUGUGUGAGAGGAUAGUGGAAUUCCAGGUGUAGGAGGGAAAUCCGUAGAUAUCUGGAGGAACAUCAGUGGCGAAGGCGACUAUCUGGCACAUAACUGACGCUGAGGAGCGAAAGCGUGGGUAGCAAACAGGAUUAGAUACCCUUGUAGUC
rnacentral:rRNA from 1 species